CCACCAUAAGCUGAAAGCGAGGACAUGAUGUAGCAAGGAAGAAUUUGGUCUUGCUUAGACAAUCAGCUGCACAGUUGCAGUAUUACUAACAUGGAGCUGACCUUAAGCCUGGGUGUCUGUAAUUAUAAGUUUCUUACUUCAGUUGCUUUACUGAAGACACUGACAAUCUCCCCAGCAGCUCAGAGGAAGGCUCACCACCCGAAAUCUGCUGUUCCCAUUCAGCACCACCUCAGACUUUCGGCUGCUAGAACUGCAAAGCCUGGCAGUUCAGUUAUAAAUGAAACAAAUCCCAAGUACUGGAAAGAACAUACUGAUGGCAAAGAAAAGUCUGCCUCAUGACCCAGACAGAACGAAUGCUCAUUAGUCAGCUCUAUUAGAACAAUGGAUAAAGCUUCUGAGAGUGAAGGUGGCCUCGCUUAAGACUUUUUGACUCAGGCUGCUUUGUCAAUUUAGGUCAACAGCUCUGCUAGUAAGGCUAAUAGCAGUAUGUCUCCAGGCGUUGUCAGUCUGGCACUUUGAUCUUGACAGAGCAGCUGAACGAUAUGCAAGAAAAAGGGGGUGUUGGGAGGAGGAGAGGGAAUCUCUGUUGAAAGGCAGCAGUCAAAAGACAUUGUCUCAAGAAAAUUUCUCAGUUGCAAGAAACCUAGCACAGCUUGAACCAUUUCCCUGAAUUAUUUAACUGGGGAAAAAUACACCAAAAACCUCCUUUAAUGGAAAAGUCAGAGUGCACGUGAUGUGCAUGUUCAACAAAAUUAGGUAAUUGGAGGUUUAUUUGCUGAAUGUCCUAAAUAAUAAGCAGGAAACCCAAGAAGAAGGAGGUUACAAUGUAAUAGCUUAAGGGAAAGGUUAAAGCGAUCUGGAUGGCCCCACAUUGAAGAGUGGAAAAAAUAAACCAUUUUGAUGAAAAACAGAUGCCAUGUCAUUGCUCAGGUUGAGUGAGUAGACUUGAACCUAUCAAAUAAUGACUUAAUUACAGAGACCCAUAACAUUAAAAGAAUUGAAUGAUUAACGUCUGCAAAACUAUCCAGAUUUACAGAGGAUCAUUACUGAACCACUAUGCUGGAAUAGAUUUAGUAGUGCGUGCUGGGAAACCUACUUUAGCUGUCUGAGAUCUAUUGUCUGGACUCAGAAACAGAGUGAUCCAGUGGACAGGGCAUCUCACUGGGAGUCAGGAGACCUGUUUGGGUUUUUUUAAUUCUUGAUUCUACCACUGCCCUGCUGUAUGACCUCAGGCAAAUCACUUCAUCUUUCUGUGCCUCAAUUUCCUACCUGUGAAAUCAUGCUUUCUUUUGAAAAGCACUGAGAUCUACAGAUAAAAAUCGUUCUCAAUGAAUUAUUAACAUCUUGAAAAUAUGAUUAAGGGAAGAAUAAUUAGAGAUAUUUACAAGUGUGUAAAGGUGACAUUGGCACAGUUUAGGAUUGGAGAUCUUACAUGAAACCUAAAUAGUUUGUAUGUCACUGGGCUAUUUUUAAAAGUGUAUGCUUGUAAGAAUCUUAUGAAACUAUCCACUUUGCAAUAAUGUAUAUUCUUAAAGCUUUCUUGCAUACAGAAAAUGAUGGCUAUUGCAGAGCAACCUGAAUUGUUCAAGUACCAGAAAGAACAUGAGCAGCUGAUGAAAGAACUGAAUGUAUGGACAGAAGGUGGGUGAUGUAAUAGCUUUUAUUGGAAGAACUUCUGUUGGAGAGAGAGCAAGACAUGCUUUCAAGCCACAUAAUGCUCUUCUUCAGGUCUGUAUAGGGGUAUCAGGCAUCGGAUGAAGGUAUAAAACUCAAAGGAAACCAGCCUGGAAUAACAGUAUUCAAUUAACCAUACUGGUGAAUGCAUCAUUGUUACUGUUUUUACAAAACUUCUGACAGGUUUUCUUUAUUCUCCCUGUUCACCUUCUAAAAUUAGACACAGAGAGCUAGGUUGCAACUGGCUUUAAUGAAGUUGUACAGGGGAGAAAAGAGUUAUGGGUGCUCUCUCACCUUCCUGCAAAGCCUAUCCAGAUUGCCAUUGUGUGGUUGGGAUAGGAAACAGGCUCAACAGGGCUCCUUCUUCCCCACUCUCCCUGUAGGUGGGUGGAAAACAGGAGAGGAAGGGAGUGCCUUGGCUCCACUCACCAAUACGUUUAACAGCCGAGCUGGUUCAGAGUGGAGGGAAGUGGGCAUGUUGCUCCCUAUGAAAAGGCAAUCAGAACUCCCUCCCCCAGAACAGGGAAGCUAGGAAAGGAAUGGUAACUCUGAAAGUCACAUUCCUUCUUUGGACUAUUCCUGGGGCAGUGCAGUCCUCAGACAGGGUGAGAUAUGGGAUGUUAAGUCUCAGACAAGCCAAGUAUGAGGUAGAAACAUCCUUAGGUCAUCUCAUCCACCCCUCAAGGGCCAAUGCAGGAGUGUCUCCUAUUCUAUCCAUCCUUACGUGUGUCAAGCAAUGAGGCUCCUAUUACUUUGGGGGAGAUUGUUGUAUUGUCUGAUAAAUCUAACCAUUAGGUAUUUUUCCUUGAUAUUCACUUUACACUUUAACUACAUUCUAACAGUGAACCAGAGAAAGGUUUGGCAUGUGUAAACAAAAUUGAGCGAUUGCAGUUUGAUAUACCCUUGGGUGAUGGAACUCAAGAUCUCCCAAUAGCAAGGUCAAAUGCAAAAUGUUUUAGUUCUUCAUUUAAAGACAUCCCAACUGCUGUAUAAGGGGAUAAAUAUGAAGACUUUCCACUCUGUCUGAGAACAUCAAGAUGAAUCAGAAGCCAGACUCGUUUGACCUUGGAGGCUGCUCAAGAAGAUACAUCCUUCAUACAAAUGAACAAUCUUUUCCUGGCAGUAUGACAUUGUUGUCUGUUUCACAUGAUGUACUGGUUUCCUAUGUCAUAUUUAAGUGCCUCCAAAAAGUUAUAUUAGUGCUAGUGUGGCUUGAUAUUUGUACAGUAACUGGCUGUGUCACUUCUGUUAAUACUCUCUCAGGAAGCCAAAUAAAUGGUGCC